rnacentral:rRNA from 1 species
GGUUAAGCGACUAAGCGUACACGGUGGAUGCCCUGGCAGUCAGAGGCGAUGAAGGACGUGCUAAUCUGCGAUAAGCGUCGGUAAGGUGAUAUGAACCGUUAUAACCGGCGAUUUCCGAAUGGGGAAACCCAGUGUGAUUCGUCACACUAUCAUUAACUGAAUCCAUAGGUUAAUGAGGCGAACCGGGGGAACUGAAACAUCUAAGUACCCCGAGGAAAAGAAAUCAACCGAGAUUCCCCCAGUAGCGGCGAGCGAACGGGGAGCAGCCCAGAGCCUGAAUCAGUGUGUGUGUUAGUGGAAGCGUCUGGAAAGGCGCGCGAUACAGGGUGACAGCCCCGUACACAAAAAUGCACAUGCUGUGAGCUCGAUGAGUAGGGCGGGACACGUGGUAUCCUGUCUGAAUAUGGGGGGACCAUCCUCCAAGGCUAAAUACUCCUGACUGACCGAUAGUGAACCAGUACCGUGAGGGAAAGGCGAAAAGAACCCCGGCGAGGGGAGUGAAAAAGAACCUGAAACCGUGUACGUACAAGCAGUGGGAGCACAGAGCAAUCUGUGUGACUGCGUACCUUUUGUAUAAUGGGUCAGCGACUUAUAUUCUGUAGCAAGGUUAACCGAAUAGGGGAGCCGAAGGGAAACCGAGUCUUAACUGGGCGUUAAGUUGCAGGGUAUAGACCCGAAACCCGGUGAUCUAGCCAUGGGCAGGUUGAAGGUUGGGUAACACUAACUGGAGGACCGAACCGACUAAUGUUGAAAAAUUAGCGGAUGACUUGUGGCUGGGGGUGAAAGGCCAAUCAAACCGGGAGAUAGCUGGUUCUCCCCGAAAGCUAUUUAGGUAGCGCCUCGUGAAUUCAUCUCCGGGGGUAGAGCACUGUUUCGGCAAGGGGGUCAUCCCGACUUACCAACCCGAUGCAAACUGCGAAUACCGGAGAAUGUUAUCACGGGAGACACACGGCGGGUGCUAACGUCCGUCGUGAAGAGGGAAACAACCCAGACCGCCAGCUAAGGUCCCAAAGUCAUGGUUAAGUGGGAAACGAUGUGGGAAGGCCCAGACAGCCAGGAUGUUGGCUUAGAAGCAGCCAUCAUUUAAAGAAAGCGUAAUAGCUCACUGGUCGAGUCGGCCUGCGCGGAAGAUGUAACGGGGCUAAACCAUGCACCGAAGCUGCGGCAGCGACGCUUAUGCGUUGUUGGGUAGGGGAGCGUUCUGUAAGCCUGUGAAGGUGUACUGUGAGGUAUGCUGGAGGUAUCAGAAGUGCGAAUGCUGACAUAAGUAACGAUAAAGCGGGUGAAAAGCCCGCUCGCCGGAAGACCAAGGGUUCCUGUCCAACGUUAAUCGGGGCAGGGUGAGUCGACCCCUAAGGCGAGGCCGAAAGGCGUAGUCGAUGGGAAACAGGUUAAUAUUCCUGUACUUGGUGUUACUGCGAAGGGGGGACGGAGAAGGCUAUGUUGGCCGGGCGACGGUUGUCCCGGUUUAAGCGUGUAGGCUGGUUUUCCAGGCAAAUCCGGAAAAUCAAGGCUGAGGCGUGAUGACGAGGCACUACGGUGCUGAAGCAACAAAUGCCCUGCUUCCAGGAAAAGCCUCUAAGCAUCAGGUAACAUCAAAUCGUACCCCAAACCGACACAGGUGGUCAGGUAGAGAAUACCAAGGCGCUUGAGAGAACUCGGGUGAAGGAACUAGGCAAAAUGGUGCCGUAACUUCGGGAGAAGGCACGCUGAUAUGUAGGUGAAGUCCCUCGCGGAUGGAGCUGAAAUCAGUCGAAGAUACCAGCUGGCUGCAACUGUUUAUUAAAAACACAGCACUGUGCAAACACGAAAGUGGACGUAUACGGUGUGACGCCUGCCCGGUGCCGGAAGGUUAAUUGAUGGGGUCAGCGCAAGCGAAGCUCUUGAUCGAAGCCCCGGUAAACGGCGGCCGUAACUAUAACGGUCCUAAGGUAGCGAAAUUCCUUGUCGGGUAAGUUCCGACCUGCACGAAUGGCGUAAUGAUGGCCAGGCUGUCUCCACCCGAGACUCAGUGAAAUUGAACUCGCUGUGAAGAUGCAGUGUACCCGCGGCAAGACGGAAAGACCCCGUGAACCUUUACUAUAGCUUGACACUGAACAUUGAGCCUUGAUGUGUAGGAUAGGUGGGAGGCUUUGAAGUGUGGACGCCAGUCUGCAUGGAGCCGACCUUGAAAUACCACCCUUUAAUGUUUGAUGUUCUAACGUUGACCCGUAAUCCGGGUUGCGGACAGUGUCUGGUGGGUAGUUUGACUGGGGCGGUCUCCUCCUAAAGAGUAACGGAGGAGCACGAAGGUUGGCUAAUCCUGGUCGGACAUCAGGAGGUUAGUGCAAUGGCAUAAGCCAGCUUGACUGCGAGCGUGACGGCGCGAGCAGGUGCGAAAGCAGGUCAUAGUGAUCCGGUGGUUCUGAAUGGAAGGGCCAUCGCUCAACGGAUAAAAGGUACUCCGGGGAUAACAGGCUGAUACCGCCCAAGAGUUCAUAUCGACGGCGGUGUUUGGCACCUCGAUGUCGGCUCAUCACAUCCUGGGGCUGAAGUAGGUCCCAAGGGUAUGGCUGUUCGCCAUUUAAAGUGGUACGCGAGCUGGGUUUAGAACGUCGUGAGACAGUUCGGUCCCUAUCUGCCGUGGGCGCUGGAGAAUUGAGGGGGGCUGCUCCUAGUACGAGAGGACCGGAGUGGACGCAUCACUGGUGUUCGGGUUGUCAUGCCAAUGGCACUGCCCGGUAGCUAAAUGCGGAAGAGAUAAGUGCUGAAAGCAUCUAAGCACGAAACUUGCCCCGAGAUGAGUUCUCCCUGACUCCUUGAGAGUCCUGAAGGAACGUUGAAGACGACGACGUUGAUAGGCCGGGUGUGUAAGCGCAGCGAUGCGUUGAGCUAACCGGUACUAAUGAACCGUGAGGCUUAACCUU